rnacentral:lncRNA from 1 species
CUUUACCAACAUUUGGGAAGCCAGAGGGUGGUUGAGGUUGAGUACGUACAACCAGUGCAAGCCAGAGCUGUAACAGGUGCUGCCUGUGUGGCAAAUGUCCCUCUCAUCAUGUUUGAUUGGUACACAUGGAGAUUGCCAUGAGUGCUGCUCCUCGGUGACCUUUCACUUGCGGGCGGAAAUGAACUUCUCUGCUUCAUCCUGACAUCUGCAAGCAAGAUGAGAAAUGGUCACCAGAUACUCUCAUCCCCUGACGGUUACCUGAUCGUUUCUGCACACGCUGCCAGGAGGUUUCCAUCUGUAGAUCUUAAGAAGCCCAAAGUUAUGCCUUUCUAUGCUGGCUCCAGACAAUCAG